AACGAACGCUGGUGGUAUGCUUAACACAUGCAAGUCGAACGGACCCUUCUAGCUUGCUAGAAGUAAGUCAGUGGCAAACGGGUGAGUAAUACAUAGGAAUCUACCUAGCAGUAAGGAAUAACCCUGGGAAACCAGAGCUAAUACCAUAUAUUACCGAUUUAUCGGGAAAGAUUUAUCGCUGUUAGAUGAGCCUGUGGCCCAUUAGCUUGUUGGUAGGGUAAUGGCCUACCAAGGCGAUGAUGGGUAGCUGGUCUGAGAGGAUGAUCAGCCACACUGGGACUGCGACACGGCCCAGACUCCUACGGGAGGCAGCAGUGGGGAAUAUUGGACAAUGGGCGCAAGCCUGAUCCAGCAAUACCACGUGAGUGAUGAAGGCUUUCGGGUUGUAAAACUCUUUUAGUAGGGAAGAUAAUGACGGUACCUACAGAAAAAGCACCGGCUAACUUCG
rnacentral:rRNA from 1 species